AGAGUUUGAUCCUGGCUCAGGAUGAACGCUAGCGACAGGCCUAACACAUGCAAGUCGAGGGGUAGCAGGAUAGUAGCAAUACUAUAGCUGACGACCGGCGCACGGGUGAGUAACACGUAUGCAACCUGCCUACUACAGGGGGAUAGCCCGGAGAAAUCCGGAUUAAUACCGCAUAAAACAGGGGUCCCGCAUGGGAAUAUUUGUUAAAGAUUAAUUGGUAGUAGAUGGGCAUGCGUUCCAUUAGGUAGUUGAUAGGGUAACGGCCUACCAAGCCAACUCCCCCACACUGGUACUGAGACACGGACCAGACUCCUACGGGAGGCAGCAGUGAGGAAUAUUGGUCAAUGGGCGAGAGCCUGAACCAGCCAAGUCGCGUGAAGGAAGACGGCCCUAUGGGUUGUAAACAUCUUUUGUACUGGAGUAAAGGGUUGUAUGAAUACGAUUUUGCAAGUGAAUAAGCAUCGGCUAACUCCGUGCCAGCAGCCGCGGUAAUACGGAGGAUGCGAGCGUUAUCCGGAUUUAUUGGGUUUAAAGGGUGCGUAGGCGGGGAUUUAAGUCAGCGGUGAAAUAUUGAGGCUCAACCUUAAUCUUGCCGUUGAAACUGGGUUUCUAGAGAGUAAAUGAAGUAGGCGGAAUUCGUGGUGUAGCGGUGAAAUGCAUAGAUAUCACGAAGAACUCCGAUUGCGAAGGCAGCUUACUAAGCUACAACUGACGCUGAAGCACGAAAGCGUGGGAAUCAAACAGGAUUAGAUACCCUGGUAGUCCACGCCGUAAACGAUGAUUACUAGCUGUUUGCGAUAUACAGUAAGCGGCUAAGCGAAAGCGAUAAGUAAUCCACCUGGGGAGUACGCCGGCAACGGUGAAACU
rnacentral:rRNA from 1 species